UAGGAACGGGUAUACCUCGCCGCGGAG
rnacentral:sRNA from 1 species